rnacentral:tRNA from 1 species
GGGAGCUUAGCUCAGUUGGUUCAGAGCACCUGCCUUACAAGCAGGGGGUCCGUGGUUCGAAUCCGUGUGCGCCCA